UUUUGCCCCAGAUUGAAGUAAAAACCCCGCAGUUGUGGUAGUUUACAUUUUUUGCGAUAAAAAAGCGACCAACGGAAGCUCUUUUUAUUGCUUAAAAAUGUUGCUAACACAAUGAGGAGUUGAAACGGAAAGCUGGAUUAGGC
rnacentral:misc_RNA from 1 species